rnacentral:tRNA from 1 species
CGGAAAAUAAUUUAAUUAAAUACCUCACCGAUAAUGCGGCCUUGUGAACAAAUCUUCACUUUUCCAA